CGCGUAGGCGGCUGAUCAAGUCAGUAGUGGAAGUCCAUAUUUCAAGUAUGGAAGUGCUAUUGAAACUGAACAGCUUGAGUGCAGGAGAGGUUAUCGGAAUUCCCGGUGUAGCGGUGAAAUGCGUAGAGAUCGGGAGGAACACCAGUGGCGAAGGCGGGUAACUGGACUGCAACUGACGCUGAGGCGCGAAAGUGUGGGGAGCAAACA
rnacentral:rRNA from 1 species